rnacentral:rRNA from 1 species
UAGCGGCGAGCGAACAAGGAAAAGCCCAGCACCGAAUCCCGCGAUCUUAACGGGUCGCCGGGAAAUGUGGUGUUUAGAAGGAUCCGUUAUUUUGAAAAGCGACGGCGCGUCCAAGUCCAUCUUGAACGGGGCCACAACCCACAGAGGGUGCCAGGCCCGUAGAGACCGCCGACCUUUUCGAAAGGAUCUCUUCUGAGAGUCGGGUUGCUUGAGAGUGCAGCCCUAAGUGGGUGGUAAACUCCAUCUAAGGCUAAAUAUAACCACGAGACCGAUAGCGAACAAGUACCGUGAGGGAAAGUUGAAAAGAACUUUGAAGAGAGAGUUCAAUAGUACGUGAAACCGUUCAGGGGUAAACCUGAGAAACCCGAAAGUUUCGAAUGGAGAGAUUCAUUCGCGGUUCGAACGUCGGCGCUUGGCGGGGUUGUUGCGACGGAUUACGGUUUACCGUAAUUCGCGCCUCUCGCCUCGAUAUGCCGAUUUCGAACGCGUGCACUUCUUUCCUAGUAGAACGUCGCGAUCCGUUGAGCGUCGAUUUUAAGGUCCGCAAACGUAGCCCGAAAAUAUUACAUUUUCGGACGUGCUGUGACCGGCAUCGACUCGCCCGACGGUAUACGAAAGGCGCGAGGCCGCGAUUUAUUGCGCGUCCGACCUGCGGCAAACACGCUCGAUGCGUCGACGAUCGGAUUUAAUGUGCCGGUCGCGACCUCGAGCGGUUGUUGGUCGUCGUGUUCUCGGACAGACCUCGUUGAAACGCCGAUCGGCGACGCUUUAGUUUUGGGUACUUUCAGGACCCGUCUUGAAACACGGACCAAGGAGUCUAGCAUGUACGCGAGUCAUUGGGAUUUACUAAACCUAAAGGCGUAAUGAAAGUAAAGAUUCGCUUCGUGCAAAUCGAGGGAAGAUGGACGUGUUCGUCGCUAUGACGACCGUCCCGCAUUCCCGGGGCGUCUUAUUCUCAUUGCGAGAAAAGGCGCACCAUGAGCGUACACGCUGGGACCCGAAAGAUGGUGAACUAUGCCUGGUCAGGACGAAGUCAGGGGAAACCCUGAUGGAGGUCCGUAGCGAUUCUGACGUGCAAAUCGAUCGUCGGAACUGGGUAUAGGGGCGAAAGACCAAUCGAACCAUCUAGUAGCUGGUUCCCUCCGAAGUUUCCCUCAGGAUAGCUGGCGCUCGUUCUAAACGAGUCUCAUCCGGUAAAGCGAAUGAUUAGAGGCAUUGGGGUCGAAACGACCUCAACCUAUUCUCAAACUUUAAAUGGGUGAGAUCUCCGGCUUGCUCAAACGAUGAAGCCGCGAGAUUUAGGAUCAGAGUGCCAAGUGGGCCAUUUUUGGUAAGCAGAACUGGCGCUGUGGGAUGAACCAAACGCCGAGUUAAAGCGCCUAAAUCGACGCUUAUGGGACACCAUGAAAGGCGUUGGUAACUUAAGACAGCAGGACGGUGGCCAUGGAAGUCGGAAUCCGCCAAGGAGUGUGUAACAACUCACCUGCCGAAGUUACUAGCCCUGAAAAUGGAUGGCGCUGAAGCGUCGUGCUUAUACUCGGCCGUCAGCGGCAUGUGCGACUCGUUCAAAUAUUUAUAUUUGUACGGUCAUCAAGCCCUGACGAGUAGGAGGGUCGCGGCGGUGUGCGUAGAAGGGUUGGCCGCGAGGCCGCCUGGAGCCGCCGUCGGUGCAGAUCUUGGUGGUAGUAGCAAAUACUCCAGCGAGGCCCUGGAGGACUGAUGUGGAGAAGGGUUUCGUGUGAACAGCCGUUGCACACGAGUCAGUCGAUCCUAAGCCCUAGGCGAAAGCCGAGGUCGAUGUGGCGUUGGGUUUCAUAAUAUGUUGCGUCCACGCGGACCUCUCGGUUUGUCUAACGUUCAUCGCGAACGGUCAAAGACACGAGGCAGGUGAGCGUCGUAUGAUCGCGAUAUGAUAAUGCCGACGCCCUUCGGAUGCGAAAGGGAAUCCGGUUCCUAUUCCGGAACCCGGCAGCGGAACCGUCUUAAAAUCGGGCCCUCGCAAGAGAGUUCGUCGGGGCAACCCAAAAUGACCCGGAGACGCCGUCGGGAGAUCGGGGAAGAGUUUUCUUUUCUGCAUGAGCGUUCGAGUUCCAUGGAAUCCUCUAGCAGGGAGAUAUGGUUUGGAACGCGAAGAGCACCGCAGUUGCGGCGGUGUCCCGAUCUUCCCCUCGGACCUUGAAAAUCCGGGAGAGGGCCACGUGGAGACGUCGCGCCGGCUCGUACCCAUAUCCGCAGCAGGUCUC